GACAGAGGGUGCAAACGUUGUUCGGAAUUACUGGGCGUAAAGCGCGUGUAGGCGGCCCGGAAAGUCGGAUGUGAAAGCCCUGGGCUUAACCCAGGAAGUGCAUUCGAAACCCCCGGGCUUGAGUUCUGGAGAGGAAGGCGGAAUUCUCGGUGUAGAGGUGAAAUUCGUAGAUAUCGAGAGGAACACCGGUGGCGAAGGCGGCCUUCUGGACAGUGACUGACGCUGAGACGCGAAAGCGUGGGGAGCAAACAGG
rnacentral:rRNA from 1 species